rnacentral:rRNA from 1 species
CAUUGUCGAAUCCUGCUCAAGCGGAAUGACCCGUUAACUCGUUAAAACAUCGGGCAAGCGUUAGGGGGCCCAAGGUCCCCUCUUUGCGAUCCCGUGGUGGUUGUCCCCUCACGGGUGUCAACCAACCAAAUAAAUCAACCGGGCGCUGACGGCGCCAAGGAAAUUAAUAUUGAAUUGAUUGUUAGCUUCUCGUUCGCGGGAAGCGGCGUCAAUCUGAAACACAAAUGACUCUCGGCAACGGAUAUCCCGGCUCUCGCAUCGAUGAAGAACGUAGCGAAAUGCGAUACUUGGUGUGAAUUGCAGAAUCCCGUGAACCAUUGAGUCUUUGAACGCAAGUUGCGCCCGAAGCCACUAGGCUAAGGGCACGUCUGCCUGGGUGUCACGCAUCUAGUUGCCCCCUGACCAAACUAAUCUUCUAAGAGAUUUUGUCGGUUUGGGGGCGGAAAUUAGCCUCCUGUGCCAUGUUGUGCGGCUGGCGUAAAACUGAGUCUAUGGUGACGAAUGUCACGACAUCGGUGGUUGUAAGAAGACCUUCUUGUCUUGUCGUGUGAAUGUCCGUCAUCUUAUACGGCUCAAUGACCCUUAGGCGCCAAAAACUUUGGCACUUCGAUUGUGACCCC